AGUAUGGGAGUGAGAAUGUUGGCAUGAGUAGCGAGAUGUGGGUGAGAAUCCCACAGGCCGUAAACCCAAGGUUUCCAGGGGAAGGUUCGUCCGCCCUGGGUUAGUCGGGACCUAAGCUGAGGCAGAAAGGCGUAGGUGAUGGACAACAGGUUGAUAUUCCUGUACUACCGAUAACCGUUUGAGAGAUGGGAUGACACAGUAGGAUAAGCUAAGCACACUGUUGGUUAUGUGUGCCCAAGCAUUGAGGCAGU
rnacentral:rRNA from 1 species